GAUCAUGCUCAGGACGAACGCUGGCGGCGUGCCUAACACAUGCAAGUCGAGCGGGGAUUAUCGAAUGAAGUUUUCGGAUGGAUUUUGGUAAUUCUAGCGGCGGACGGGUGAGUAACGCGUGAGCAACCUGCCUUUCACAGGGGGGAUAACGCAUCGAAAGGUGCACUAAUACCGCAUGAGACCACGCUCCCGACAUGAGAGAGGGGUCAAAGGAGCAAUCCGGUGAGAGAUGGG
rnacentral:rRNA from 1 species